CGGAGUAUCACUUCUUUAUCAAUUCAUAUCUUUGAUCUGGGUGAACAAAAAUCAUGAGAAAAUUCUGGAUGAUAGUGGACUUCAAGAGUUUUCUCUGACCUCAAGAAUCACCCCCAUAGCUAUUUUGGUAUUGGAGUUAUGAAAAUCACAAGAUGAUACAAUUGUGCUGUCGAGAACCUGGACCAGUUUUGGUUGCUUACUGUUUGGGACAAAUACAACUAUAGAUUUUGGAAAGGUGUUCUACAGCAAAGUUUUAGAUAAGUUGCCAAGCUUUCUAACGGUAUAAGCUAUAACCCUAUUGGAUUAACAGAACAAGAGUUAUGUCCAUUUUACUGUGCUGGUGAUGAUCUUAUCGUGAGGAAAUUUCAGGAUAUUUAAUUCUUCCUUGCACAUAAGUUCCUUGGGAUGUCAAAAGGUCUCAGUGCAAAAUAAUUUGUCAAGAAAAAGUGCAAGCUACCUUCCUUGUGCCUCCUAGUCAACCUUUCUUAAGGGGGGUAGUACCAUGAUAUCAUGGGUUGAUGCAUUUUCAACUUAUCUUGAAGUGAGAGUUGUCUCUUGAGAUAUUCUAUGAUUAUGAUCAUCUCUCCUUGUCGUGUU
rnacentral:lncRNA from 1 species